AUGAUGGACACUUCUGAGAGAGAAAAACUCCAGGAGAACCCAGUCAUUGGGAGGCCUCGACAAUAUUGUGAGAUUUAUGUUCAGGAGAUCAAGCAAGGACAUCUCGGCAAUGCAUCUGUGGGCCUUUAUCUCCACAUUCCUCCUGAAUGAAGGCCAGAGGCAAAUGAGAGGAAUCAGAAAUCGGGAGAAAACGUAAAGUAAGUAUUUCCAUUUUAAAUUCCAGAAUUUAGACAUAAAAGGUUUUUGUGUAGUGUUGCCACGUACAAUGUAUAUUUGCUGUGUUUUAGCUGUGUCUGUUCCUCUUUGAUUUGGAAACACAUUCUCAAUCCCUGGAGUAAAUUUGCACUCCACUGCUGUGUGUGCUGCCUUCACGGCAUUAUUUGUCCAGGUGCCGCUAUCCAAGUGGUGGGCCUAUGACUCAAGUUACGCUAAUUAUAUUCUCUCUUGAAGGAUUUGGACGAUUGAAUAAAGAUGCAAAGACCUAAAACCCUGACAGGUGUUUAAUUUUAAGGAGGCAGAAACUCAGGCCAGGCAUGUUGGCUCACGCCUGUAAUCCCAGCAAUUUGAGAGGCCAAGGUGGGUGGAUCACCUGAGGUCAGGAGUUUGAGACCAGCCUGGCCAACAUGGCAAAACCCUGUCUCUACUGAAAAUACAAAAAUUAGCCAGGGAUGGUGGUGCACGCCUAUAAUCCCAGCUGCUUAGGGGGCUGAGGCAAGAGAAUAACUUGAACCAUCUGGUGGAGGUUGCAGUAAGCCGUGAUGGUUUCACUGCACUCCAGCCUGGGUGACACAGCAAAUCUCUGUCUCAAAACAAAACAAAAAACAUGGAAGAAACUGCUCACCAUUUCCUGCCACUGAACUUCUAGUGCCUAUCUCUCACUGGGUCUACAAUUUCCCCUUUUGUUCUAGAGAGUUAGCCAGCAUCAUUUCAAUUAAUGUAUUAAUAUUUUUCAUUUAAAUCUCAGUCUUCAGGUUGCUCACAGCUUAGUAGGAAAGAUGUUGGCUCUCGAGAUUUUAGCACAUUGUUUGACACUUAGAAGAUCUUCAGUAAAUACUUUUUGAAUGUUACGUUUAAGGUAAAUGUUGGCUACACUGAAGUGUAUAGAUUAUUAUCUUCCAUUGUCUUGAGGUAGGUGUAGAGAAGGCUUACCAGAGGAGUGUGGUUGAAAAAGUCAUAUUUUUAACCUCCCACAGUACCUUAUAGAGAAUAGGUACUCAAUAAAUGUUUGAAUCAAAAACAUAAAAUCCUACAAAAAUAUGUUUCAGUAAAUCUCAAAUUGAUACAGUUUUACUAAUUUUUGUUACAACUGCUAUGAUCUGAAUGUGUCUCCCAAAAAUUCAUAUGUUGGCGGCUAAUCCUCAAUGUGAUAGAAUUAAGAGAUGAGGCUUUGUGGGGUUGAUUGAGUUAUAAGAGCUCAAUCCUAACGAAUGGGAUUAGUUUCUUUAUUUUUUUUAUUUUUAAUUUUUUUUUGAGACAGAGUUUCACUCUUGUUACCCAGGCUGGAGUGCAAUGGCGCGAUCUCGGCUCACCACAACCUCCGCCUCCUGGGUUCAAGCAAUUCUCCUGCCUCAGCCUCCCGAGUAGCUGGGAUUACAGGCACGCGCCACCAUGUCCUGCUAACUUUUUGUAUUUUUAGUAGAGACGAGUUUCACCAUGUUAACCAGGAUGCUCUUGGUCUCUCGUGAUCCACCCGCCUCAGCCUCCCAAAGUGCUGGGAUUACAGGCUUGAGCCACCGUGCCUGGCCAAUAAGGCACCAUCUUUAAAGGAGAGAGCAAGCCCUCACCAGACACUGAAUCUGGUGGUUCCUUGAUCUUGGACUUUCCAGCCUAAGAACUGUGAGCAAUAAAUUUGUGCUACUCAUAAAUUACCUAGCCCAAGAUGUUUUGUUCUAGCAGCCCUAACAAAAACAAUAACCCUUCUAAGAUUUGUUAUAUUAUACUGAAUGAGACACCAUAGAUAGAGAAAAAAAUUAAAUCCUCCCAAAGUCAGGAGUUUUCAUAUCUUUUUUACUUCUGCCAUCAAGUAAAUAUUACCAUCCCCUGAAAGCAACAGAGCUGAGUUCUUUCUCAUCUAGGUCUAAGGAAUAACAAACAUCCCUGCUUUCUUUGAGUGCCAGAGCCAGUAACAGAAAAAGCUGGUAUGAAUUUUCAAGAGGAAAUGCUAAUUUGACCCCUUUCCACAAAUGUUGACACUUGACAGCUCUGUUUUUAGAAUCUGACACCAAGGGUGUUAUCAGGGUAUAGGAGGUCUUUUUGAGUUAGAGACAGGGCUCGGAGUUCUUUGAUGAGAGCCAAAAGGCAGUCUGGGAACUGGAAAUGUUUACUGGACCUGUGUUAAGAUUUGGAGAACUGUACACUCAUAUAUAUAUAUAUAUAUAUAUAUAUAUAUUGCCCAUAACCUUCAUAGUCUUUGCUUCUGGGCCUAAAAUAACAUUUUUUUCUCUUUUGCUACCAAAGUAGAAGCAUUUUUGGAAACCAUAUAUUUAUGGAAAAUAUAUCAAGAUAGAC
ensembl:lncRNA